rnacentral:tRNA from 1 species
GAGGGUAUAGAUCAGUGGUAGAGUGCAUGCUUAGCAUGCACAAGGUCCUGGGUUCUGGGAUCAACUCCCAGUACCUCCU